AUGUAAAUGAAUGGGAGAUUUUCCAGUAGUUCCAAAAUCGACCAAUAGAUGGCAUUCGGCCUGUCGUUUUUAGUAGUGAGCUACAUUCUUCUGAGGAAACGGAGAUGACAAAUGUCACAGACCUACUACAAAACAAAUGUUAUGUCAUUCGGUUUCUCUUGUAGCUACGCGAAUGUCUCCGGUGCUGUGUUUUGUGAUAAUUUCGACGACUCUGGCUAUUCUUUUGGACUUUUGUGACUUCUAUACCCGACCGACCUUUGCACUCCCCCUGGACCCUUGCUUGCCAUUACGAUUUACCCCUGCCUGUACUCCGGACCUUGAAACAAUCAUGGGAAAAGACUAUGGAUCAUGGUCAACUGUACGCCUGAAGGACGAGCUGCGAAAACGCAAAGCAAAACUUUCUGGAAAGAAAGCAGUGCUUGUCCAGAGACUUGAAGAUUACGAUAAGCUGUUUGGACCAGUUGUAACCGACUCGGAAGUCGUAUUCAAAAUAAAAGUGCCGGAACCUGAAAGUUUCCGAGAUAUUACGAGUAACUCGGCUAUACCUGAUUUGGAUAUGGCUGAUAUAGAAUUGUUUUCCCAGCUCUCAGGGAGGGAAAACUUAAAGACGUCUCUGAAUAUGUAUGACGAAUAUUUUUUAAUGUCAUGCAGAGUAGCUUUUUUUAAUGCUGACUAUUAUAUUACUGGCAUGGUUGCAUCAGAGAUGAGGAAACAUAUUGUAUACAAUGUAACAGUAAAAGAAAAAAGUCAUUUGAUUUUAGAAACCCAAUGUGAAUGUGCUGCAGGAAUGGGGCCAUAUCGACAAUGUAAACACAUUUUAGUGGUGUUAAUAGGCAUCACGGACAUGGUUCAACACCGAAGAAUUAAAAUGAAAACAAGUGGAAUAAACAUGGAUUUUUGUAUUGGCUGAAAGGACUCGAAUCCAUGCCGGCUAUAAAAAAAUAUGCAGUCCUGUUCAGUAUGAAGAUUUACUAGCGCCAUCUAUUGUCGGGUUUUGUCUAUGGACGUUGUCUAUGGUUGAAAACCUCCCAU